rnacentral:rRNA from 1 species
GUAGGGUGCGAGCGUUAAUCGGAAUUACUGGGCGUAAAGCGAGCGCAGACGGUUACUUAAGCAGGAUGUGAAAUCCCCGGGCUCAACCUGGGAACUGCGUUCUGAACUGGGUGACUAGAGUGUGUCAGAGGGAGGUAGAAUUCCACGUGUAGCAGUGAAAUGCGUAGAGAUGUGGAGGAAUACCGAUGGCGAAGGCAGCCUCCUGGGAUAACACUGACGUUCAUGCUCGAAAGCGUGGGUAGCAAACAGGAUUAGAUACCCUGGUAGUCCACGCCCUAAACGAUGUCAAUUAGCUGUUGGGCAACUUGAUUGCUUAGUAGCGUAGCUAACGCGUGAAAUUGACCGCCUGGGGAGUACGGUCGCAAGAU